UAGAUGAGGACUCUGAGA
rnacentral:miRNA from 1 species